AUGAGAGUGACCAUCUCUUGAGCAUUCCCUGUUGCAUCUCCUUUAGUUGCACAGCAACCCUGCGAGGAGCUAUUCUUGGUCAUUCCCAUUUUACAGACGAGGAAGCUGAGACCAGAGGGGUAAGUGGCUUGUCAAGGUCACCCAGCUCAUCAGCCAAUGGCACGGCCUCGGAGUCCAGGGCUUCUGAUGCCUGCUGCGAAUGCGCUGCUGCUGGACCACAGCGGGAAAUUUUACGUGGGUCAAAAUUUGGCAGACAAGGCUCAGCUCCCAAGGCCCACCCAGCCAGUGGGUGCAGAGGGACAGUACGAAUUCUGCUACAAAGUGGUACAAGAUUUUACUGAUAUAUUUUCAGAUUAUGCGAAUUUCACAUGAAGAUUCCUGCCUUAAAAUAUUUUUUUAUUUUAAUGGUCAGUGUAUUUGUAAAAAUCAUGUUAAUUAAUUUUGUUGUUGACAUUAAUAUUCAACCUAAUUUCUUUCUAUAUAUUUUGUUACGUCUUAAAGGUCACGCGCUAUAAAAUGAUUACGUUCUUUCACUG
rnacentral:lncRNA from 1 species